rnacentral:tRNA from 1 species
GGGGAUUUAGCUCAGUGGCAUAAGCACCUGCCUUGCAAGCAGGGGGUUGUGAGUUCGAUCCCCG